rnacentral:rRNA from 1 species
CUGGUUGAUCCUGCCAGUAGUCAUAUGCUUGUCUUAAGGAUUAAGCCAUGCAUGUCUCAGUACAAGCAUCCUUGUACCGUGAAACUGCGAAUGGCUCAUUACAACAGUUAUAGUUUAUUUGAUCGUGCGGAGCUACGUGGAUAACCGUAGGAAUUCUAGAGCUAAUACAUGCACCGUCGCCGAGGAUCUUUGGUUAGACUUCGGCGGGAUUUAUUAGAUCAAAAACCAAUCGUCUCUCCCGUUAUUUCGGAGAGAGGCGUGGUGGGAUGAAUCAUAAUAACUUUACCGAAUCGUAUGGCUUAAAUUAGGCCGACGAUAAAUCAUUCAAAUUUCUGCCCUAUCAACUUUCGAUGGUAGGGUAGUGGCCUACCAUGGUGUUGACGGGUGACGGAGAAUUAGAGUUCGAUUCCGGAGAGGGAGCCUGAGAAACGGCUACCACAUCCAAGGAAGGCAGCAGGCGCGCAAAUUACCCAAUCCUGAUUCAGGGAGGUAGCGACAAGAAAUAACGAUAGUGGGCUCGUUCGAGUCCGCGCAUCGGAAUGAGGAUAAUUUACACCCCUUCUCGAGGAUCCAUUGGAGGGCAAGUCUGGU